UUCUUCGGGGCAGGGUGAGAUUCCCUACCGGCGGUAAAGUCCGCGACCCGCUUUUGGCGGCUGAUUUGGUGAGAUUCCAAAACCGACAGUAUAGUCUGGAUGAGAGAAGAA
rnacentral:ncRNA from 1 species